UGACACGCUUCAUUUAUCAUUAAAUGCUUUUGUGUAUAUUAUUACAACAAAGUUCCUUUCCAGUGGAAGAAACGUGAGCUUUGUGCUGUUUCAAGUCGUGAUGACCCGUGGUGAAAUGUCAUCGGCUUGGGCCAGGAGUUGACGUGUGUGCCUGGGUGCAGAGCAACCAAAAGCAGGUCCCAUCCACACAUCGUAACGGAGGAUUGAUUUUUGCUCACCUGCCCUUCUGCGCUGCCUCCUGCGGCUGGACAACUGGACGUCCAGGAGCAGAGAGUCUGACAGCUGCACAGCGAGGUGCAGGAGAGCUUACUGGCACAGCAGAGAGCACGUAGCUAAAUUCAGCAGCUGCAGAUGGACCUAGAUGGCAUAGAGGAGCAAGCAGAUGUGUUCUGCACACAGCUGCUGGUGAAGAAUGUAGAGCUGCAGAAGCCGUAGAGGAAGAUUGAAGAGCUGCAGGGGCGAGGGAGGCAGCUGGGGGAGGAGAACCGUGCCCUACAGCACCAUCUGAGCUUUGUCAGAGAGGAGCUGCACGGUGCCACGCUUCAGCUCUGUCAGAGGCAAGAAGAAACGGAGAAGCUGAGGGAUGAGGACAGGCGGCUCGAGGACAAGGCGGAGCGCAGUAGUGCGGAGUCAAGCCGCUGGCGGCGGGAGGCUCAGAGGGCGACCGUGGAGUGAGAAGAGGAGCCACGAAGCUGGACACAGCACGGCACACGGCCACGCGGGAACCGAAGCCGCGCGAUGCGGAGCCGGAGGAGGCCCGGCACGCUCGUGACGUGGCCCUGGCCGACCUGCGCCUCCGCAAGGGCGACGCCCGGAGGCUGGCUUUCGAGAAGCAGGGCCUGCAGGAGUUUCUGAAGCGCCUCCAGGCCGAGGUGAGGGGGGUCGGCAUUGGGGGGGGACACGGUCGGGACCCGUCACGGCAGGUCAUGGGGAUGUAAUUAAGUUUUCAAUAUGAAUGUGCAAUCAGUUUCUCUCCAGGAAAUUGCUUUUUUUAAGCAGCUUGAAUUAAAAUGCAUAUGAGCUCAGUGUUUUCAAUUAACAUUUUGUGCUUAGGAGGCAGAUUAAUAGUAUUCACUGAUGGGCUUUGGAAGAAAUUAGCCUGCUUUUAACCUAAGAGGAGGUCUGCCUAUUUGCUCUCUGCAUCUUGGAAAUGUGUGGUGAGAAUGGAAUCCACAUCUUGGGGAAUAAAAGUCUAGCAGCUCUUCCGGAUAUAUAUUUA
rnacentral:lncRNA from 1 species